AAAUUGAAGAGUUUGAUCAUGGCUCAGAUUGAACGCUGGCGGCAGGCCUAACACAUGCAAGUCGAACGGUAACAGGAAGCAGCUUGCUGCUCGGGUGACGAGUGGCGGACGGGUGAGUAAUGUCUGGGAAACUGCCUGAUGGAGGGGGAUAACUACUGGAAACGGUGGCUAAUACCGCAUAACGUCGCAAGACCAAAGAGGGGGACCUUCGGGCCUCUUGCCAUCAGAUGUGCCCAGAUGGGAUUAGCU
rnacentral:rRNA from 1 species